rnacentral:rRNA from 1 species
UACGUAGGUGACCAGCGUUGUCCGGAUUUACUGGGCGUAAAGAGCGCGCAGGCGGUCGUUCAAGUCGAGUGUGAAAGCCCCCCGGCUCAACUGGGGAGGGUCACUUGAUACUGAUCGACUGGAAGGCAGGAGAGGGAAGCGGAAUUCCCGGUGUAGUGGUGAAAUGCGUAGAUAUCGGGAGGAACACCUAUGGCGAAGGCAGCUUGCUGGGACGUUACUGACGCUAAGGCGCGAAAGCGUGGGGAGCGAACAGG